rnacentral:lncRNA from 1 species
AGGAACCCGGGUCAGGUCGGGGAACAAUCACAACCCUAAACUAUUGCUAUAACACUCGCGCCUUCUCUUCAUCUCUCUCACUCUCCGUCUCAUGGCUUUCGUCAGCUGCGCAGCCGUCACCACCGCCUGUUCGCCGUCGAUCCCAGAGGUUGCACUGACACCGUUUCUCCCUGCCCCGCUGCCUCAGACCUUCGGUUCUGCUAUGGCCUAUUCCAUCUCCCUUGCUGAUACAACCGAUUUUCACCGCCGCCGUCUGAUGCCCUUGUCCGCGGGUGAAGCCGCCUUUCGCCGCAUCUUCGCCAUUAAUCUUCGUCGCCAGCAAAGCUUCGGUUGGCUACGCCGAAUUUCUCCUUCCCUGCUUGACUGCCUUGCCCGGGUCUGUUGGUGUUAUUCACGGAGACAUUUCUCCUUUCCGGCGAAGUCGCAUCAGCACCGUUGACGACUGGGAGAGGGUUUAAAGUUCCCGAAUUUGGCAUCAGGUCUCUCUGCCACAGUGAUUCCCCGAAAUUCAUAUUCCCUUGCCUCUGAAUUCUGGAAUGCAAUGUGUUUUGAGUCUUGCCCAGUGAAUGGCUUCGAUUGGAGCAUCCAUUUUGGUUUGAAGCCUCCCUCCUUUGUUGUUCUGCUAUCUCUCAUGGGGACUUCCAUCUCCAGUUUUUCUCCAAUUGGCCUAUCAGGAAACAUUUCGCCACUCCAUCUGUGACUUUAUUUCCCUCUCUAGGGACCCAUAUGAAGUCACAAUUGGGAAGACUCUCAGCCAGGAGAAGAAUAUCUCGAAGAAUUGGUUCCACCUCUCCUAUAUAAGUUUUUUAUUUUACUGCUUGCACAAGAGGUAAAUUAUCCGACUCUAAUUAAGAUUUGCUCCAAAUUAAUAUUUGUAGCUAAAAUUAGUGCCAUUCUCAUUGCUUCUGCUUCUGCAGCUAAGCUGGAAUGAGCUCUGAUUCUCAUGGAUUCUCCUGUUAAUAGUCAUCCAGAGUUGUCUCGAAUCACAAUUGCAGUUGCUCCCUCCGCUGUCGAUCUUCUAUACGCAGCAUCUACGUUAGCCUUUAGCCAAUCCCUCGGUGGAGGUCUCCAGGUAAUGCUCCUUCUGCUUAUACUCCUGUUCUGGUUUUGUCCGAGCUGCUCCUUUUUUCGCAUUGCUUCCCUGAUUUCUGAUUCUAGGAUUUUAGCUCUGAUGAUGGUAGCAUUGGGGUUGGGGAUAGUGUUUUGAAAUAUAGUCUGGUUUCUCGUUUUCCAAAUCUCCCAACUUAGCACUCCAAUUCUUCCAAUUAGAUCCUCUGCUUCUUCCUUCCCUUGUCCUCUAAUUUUUCUGCAUAUUUCAAGCAGCCAUUCUGCAAAUGACUUGAUUGUUUCUGGUGUUGAUAAACAUUGACUCUGUGCUCCAAACCACGUUACUCUGAUCCACGAGCAUAGAAGAAUUGCAUGUUUUAUAGUCUCUAUUCCUUCCCUGCAAAUUCCACAGAUAGGAGUAUUAGUUAUUUUCUUUUUAAAUAAGUUAUUAUUAAUAGUAUAGAUAUCAUGUGUCAAGUUCAGCAUUGUUCCUCUUUUUUUUUGUUGAGUUCAUCGUUGUUCAAAGUUGUUCCUAUAGCAAACUUCCUAUCAAGGGCCCAAUCCGGGAUCAACUUUGGUAGUUACUGGGCCCAACUACUUCUCGAUCAUCCACGCCGUCAUUUCAAGUUAAUUUUGGCAGAGGAUCUUAAAAGAGUGUUAUUGCCAAGAGCAGUUCCUGGUUUUGUUUUUGGGGCUUUAAGCCCCUUUAAUGCCAAAAACAAGAAACAUUUUUUUCCUUGUGACUAGAACAUUUUUGCUUUUCAACAGAUAAUUUUGUUUCUUACUAUAGAUAAAUUACUUUCGCUGAAAUUCGUUUUUUUUUUUUUUUUACCAAAGAUAGGAGACUCGAACCUGCAACCUCUUAAUUGAGUAUGGGGAGAUUAUGCCAUUUGAGCUAUUACUCAUUGGCUUCGCUGAAAUUCGUUUGUUAGAGACUAAAAAGUUUAGUUAAAUCAGCUCCCAUCAAUAUUUGAACAAAAACAUAAGUCUUUACUAUUUUUAAAAUUUUCAAAUGAAUCUCUUUUGUAUAGAUAAAAAUUAAGUUGUCUAACAAAAUAAAAAAUUUAAAACUAAUUUGAUAAUUAAAAAUUUUUAGAAACCAAAAUGUAUGAUUAAAUUUUUUAAUAAACUAUUUUGAGACAUUACUACUCUAUUUUAAUUUGAAAUUAGGUUAUGUCCAGCCCAGUUUUAAUUUGAAUGAAAAGUUGUUAAGAGAAUAAAGUCCAAAAUACAAAAGGAAAAAGAAAGUUGUUAGAGAUUGAUGUGUAAAUCUGCGGACCAUGGUGAAAACUAAAGAUUAUGAAUCUCUCAUUGAAUUGUUUUGUAAUACGAGAAUUUUAUUUUUUUUCGCGUAACAUUUUUAGGUGCUCGAAAAAUAUUGGUGUUUCAGUCAUUUUUUUUCCUCCAAAAUAAGUAAGCUUUCGUUAAUAAAAGAGAAUUACAAGUAUCAAUAUUCCAUACACUGGGACAGAGAGGAGCUUGGGAGCUAUAGAAGUUCAGACAACAGCCGCAUCGAAGAGGCUACAACUUCUGCUAGUGAUUGUGACUUUCUGAAAGACCCAUGAGUUUCGUGUCUUUCAUAUAUUCCACAGCAGAACCACUAACAAUGGGGAGUAAUUUGUUUGAUUUGAUAUGUUUCAGUAAUUUUAGUCAUUGAUAUCUGUUCGUACCUGAGCCGAAGUUAUGAGUUUAUGAGUUUCGGAGAUCUUAAUGGGCACAGCGUUGUUUUCAAGUCGGAAAAACUAUCUGUAAAGAUAUUUCGAUGCUUUAGUUAGUAGUGCUCUUAGGUGUUAAAGUGGACAGAUGCCUACCUGCUAAGUUUUUUUUUUCCUUCAUACUAUUUUUUUAGUUGGAUUCGAUGUUAUUAGGCAUUUACUGUCUUGAAUAUUCAUUUUUUAAUGCUAUAAUGUGGCAACUUAAAGAG